AAGCAUCUUCUUGAGCUCCUCCAUGAGGUGGAUGGGCAGCUGCAGGUGGCACAGGAUGGUGCCCAUCUUCUUUUCCCACGCCGCAUUGCCCACUGGCUCCAAGAUCUUGGUCUCAGCCGGCAGGUACUCCCCACAGCUGCCAGGAAGACUGGUUUAUUGAAUGCACUGCAAGAGGAUGGCAUGCUUCCCCGGUUAAAAAAAAAUCGUUAUUAAUAGUGUGUGUAUAUCAUGUUCAUAAAGUAUCUGAUGACACCAGGAAAAUAUACCUGAAUCCGCUGGAACUGGAAUUACAGAGCUGGUGCAACAAUAGGAUUCAUCUGCAGCACAGGAGCAGUUGGUGUCCACUCAGAGUGGAGGCAGCAGUUUGGAGACAGAAGAGAGCCAAUCGAUUUUAAAUUCAGUGUCGCCGUAGCCUGGAGCAUUAGCCCGGCAAGGCCUGAAAGUUGAUCAUUUCCUGCUACCACCUCCUGAGUACUGGGACUGUAUGUCUGCACGAACCUGCCUAUCUCUGCCAAUGUUAACAGCUGCCUUUGCCUCUUCACGAAAUGAUGGCUGACCUAGGUAGAAAGGAACAGAACCUGUUGGCCAUGGACUGAAACUUUUGGAACUGCAUAUCAUGCUGCUGUCUUCCUGUACGAAUGACUAUCCCUUCUCCAGACUCAGUGAACAAAAGAAGAACCUGAACUACAGAUGGUUGGAGGCGCUGUGAAUCGGACCAUGAUCCCUUGGAAGAAGAUCCAGAGCUCUUAGCCAAAUUCUGAGGAAUUAACGUUUCCGUGACUAUCUCAGAAGCAGACAAAGCAGCAGGUAUCUCACUCCCAUAGAAUUGGAUCUGUGAAAAGCUACAUCAGGAAUGAAAACUCAGUGAGCGUGUGGAGUGGUACCUGUGUUGCUCUGCAUAGAAUGAAAGGAAUGGCGCCCAAGAAGACGGAGAGGGAAGUUAUGAAAUGCCGUGGCCAAAUAACAAAUGCUGACAUUUUGGGAUAUACUGUUUCCCAUAUGAGCAAUGUGAGAGAAAAAUAGAGUGAUUGAGAUGUCAUUCUUUUGUGAGGUAUUCAUAGACCCCUUCUCAAAGUCUUGUCACUUUUUACAAGAUUUUCAUUGAAUUCUGAUACACAAGUUAAAAGAAUCAAGGACAAGGAAUAGCACAAGAAGUGCUAAUUAACUGAGUAAAGGAAUUACAGUUUGUAUCCAGUAGACAUAAAGGCUCUAGACAUCCUUAGAGCUGCCGUCGCAUGAAUAAUAAUUCUGAAGUGCACAGUGGAACAUCCAACAGACAAGAAAGAGUUACUUCCUGGAAGGAGUAUAAUUUUUGUCAUGGAAGAGGUUUUGUACAGGGACACUCGAUAUGUACAUUUACACUAUAGAUAUUUCUCUUCAUGUGAGUCUGAGGGCUCUUCUCACUUUAAGCUCACCAGCCAAGUUUGUCGAGCUUAAAAUUUUAUGGUCUCAUAAGUUAGUCCAAUACCUGAAGGAGCAAGAGAACUAACGCUGAGUUGACAAAAAUAUGACAUAUUGACUAAAGACAAUUUAGAAACUUGAUUCAAAAUUAAGCCACGAAAUAAUUAUAAAAAUCUGAGUAUGGGUACAAUGUAAUUUCAUAACCGCCAUCAUACUAUAUUUUAUUUCAAUUUUAAAAAUUAUUUCUAUAACAUAUCCUUUGGUUAAGGAAAUAUAAAAUCUGUACUGAAUAUGCACUUCUGGAUUUAUUUAGAUCAUAUUAUUGUACAUUUUUGGCUUUCCCAUUUUUUUAUAUAAAAUGUACCAUACAUUGUAUAUUAAUAUUUAUGCCUUUCUUGAGUUAAUUCGUACUCAUUGUUUCUUUUUUUUUAAUUCUUCUUGGAGCAUUAUGUAGGUGCCCUUGAAUUAUUCCCAAUAUACUUAUACAAUUUCUUGCCUGAAGUUAAUAAAAUUGAAAUAUAACGUUC